rnacentral:rRNA from 1 species
UACGGAAGGCAGCAGUGGGGAAUAUUGCACAAUGGGCGCAAGCCUGAUGCAGCCAUGCCGCGUGUAUGAAGAAGGCCUUCGGGUUGUAAAGUACUUUCAGUCGUGAGGAAGGUGUUAAGGUUAAUAACCUUAGCAAUUGACGUUAGCGACAGAAGAAGCACCGGCUAACUCCGUGCCAGCAGCCGUGGUAAUACGGAGGGUGCGAGCGUUAAUCGGAAUUACUGGGCGUAAAGGGCACGCAGGCGGUUAAUUAAGUUGGAUGUGAAAUCCCCGGGCUUAACCUGGGAAUGGCAUUCAAGACUGGUUAGCUAGAGUCUUGUAGAGGGGGUAGAAUUCCAUGUGUAGCGGUGAAAUGCGUAGAGAUGUGGAGGAAUACCGGUGGCGAAGGCGGCCCCUGGGACAAAGACUGACGCUCAUGUGCGAAAGCGUGGGGAGCGAAACAGGAUUUAGAUACC